UACGAAGGGGGCUAGCGUUGCUCGGAAUUACUGGGCGUAAAGCGCACGUAGGCGGAUUGUUAAGUCGGAGGUGAAAUCCUGGAGCUCAACUCCAGAACUGACUUCGAAACUGGCGAUCUCGAGUUCGGGAGAGGUGAGUGGAACUGCGAGUGUAGAGGUGAAAUUCGUAGAUAUUCGCAAGAACACCAGUGGCGAAGGCGGCUCACUGGCCCGAUACUGACGCUGAGGUGCGAAAGCGUGGGGAGCAAACAGG
rnacentral:rRNA from 1 species